rnacentral:rRNA from 1 species
CGAAAGCCUGACGGAGCAAUACCGCGUGAGGGAAGAAGGCUUUUGGGUUGUAAACCUCUUUUGUCAGGGAAGAAGAAUUGACGGUACCUGAAGAAAAAGCAUCGGCUAACUCCGUGCCAGCAGCCGCGGUAAUACGGAGGAUGCAAGCGUUAUCCGGAAUCAUUGGGCGUAAAGGGUCCGCAGGUGGCGAAUAAAGUCUGCUGUUAAAGACCGGGGCUUAACUCCGGAAAGGCAGUGGAAACUGAUUAGCUAGAGUACGGUAGGGGUAGAGGGGAUUCCCAGUGUAGCGGUGAAAUGCGUAGAUAUUGGGAAGAACACCGGUGGCGAAAGCGCUCUACUAGGCCGAAACUGACACUGAGGGACGAAAGCUAGGGUAGCGAAAGGGAUUAGAUACCCCUGUAGUCUUAGCGGUAAACGAUGGAUACUAGGUGUAGCUUGUAUCGACCCGAGCUGUGCCGAAGCUAACGCGAUAAGUAUCCCGCCUGGGGAGUACGCACGCAAGUGUGAAACUCAAAGGAAUUGACGGGGGCCCGCACAAGCGGUGGAGUAUGUGGUUUAAUUCGAUGCAACGCGAAGAACCUUACCAGGGCUUGACAUGUCGCGAAUCUAGCGGAAACGUUAGAGUGCCUUAGGGAAUGCGAACACAGGUGGUGCAUGGCUGUCGUCAGCUCGUGUCGUGAGAUGUUGGGUUAAGUCCCGCAACGAGCGCAACCCUCGUCCUUAGUUGCCAAUAUUAAGUUAGGCACUCUAGGGAGACUGCCGGGGACAACUCGGAGGAAGGUGGGGAUGACGUCAAGUCAGCAUGCCCCUUACGUCCUGGGCGACACACGUACUACAAUGGUUGGGACAAAGGGCAGCAAGCUCGCGAGAGUAAGCGAAUCUCAUCAAACCCAGCCACAGUUCAGAUUGCAGGCUGCAACUCGCCUGCAUGAAGUAGGAAUCGCUAGUAAUCGCAGGUCAGCAUACUGCGGUGAAUUCGUUCCCGGGCCUUGUACACACCGCCCGUCACACCAUGGAAGCUGGCUACGCCCGAAGUCGUUACCCUAACCCGGUUUUGGGAGGGGGAUGCCGAAGGUAGAGCUAGUGACUGGGGUGAAGUCGUAACAAGGUAGCCGUACCGGAAGGUGUGGCUGGAUCACCUCCUUU